rnacentral:sRNA from 1 species
UUUCACCUCCACAGGGGCCAUAGCUCCUCGAUCGGGAGUUUAAACAUGGCGCCUGCUUCUCGCUUCAUCAUCCUCUGGCCGAGCGUGAAUGAUGACAGCCGCUGCGCGGUCAGAUCACUGGUUGGUUGUUCCAACUGAUCGUGAGUGAAUCUGGGUGCUCAAGCCUAACCAUCGCAUGUCACCCUCAUAAUUCGUCUUUUGGCUUUUCAGUCAACUCUCUCUGUCCAACCUUUCUUGCUGCCACCGUGCACGUACAGUGGGAAGUGAUUCCCGUGGCGCAUUGUGGGAAAUUCCAGCCCCUUCCACCAACCAGUAGCACAGAGAGCACUUCUAUAAAAACACAUCCAUCAAAUCUAAAUAUGUCCGGCACCAUCAAGCGGUACACAUAAAUGGUCAACCCCCGAGAACCUGUAGUUUGUUGUUGCAGAGCUUAAUAAAUAUAUGCCAGUACUCUGAAAAAAAAAAAAAAAACGCCGUCACUGUCUUUGUGAACUGGCUGACUGGUGUUAUAUGUCCAUAACGACCAGAAGCGGGUUGAUGGGACAUUGAAUAAGGGUAUUUUCUGUAGCUAGUCAGUUAGCAAGUGCUGAUGUGAUGUGAGGAGGAAAUAAGUGCUUGAAGAUCCACUAGAAAUUUCGC